rnacentral:rRNA from 1 species
UACAGGGGGUGCAAACGUUGCUCGGAAUCAUUGGGCGUAAAGCGCACGUAGGCGGUUCGUUAUGUCGGAUGUGAAAGCCCUCGGCUUAACUGAGGAAGUGCAUCCGAAACUGGCGAGCUUGAGUAUGGAAGAGGGUCGCGGAAUUCCCGGUGUAGAGGUGAAAUUCGUAGAUAUCGGGAGGAACACCAGUGGCGAAGGCGGCGACCUGGGCCAAUACUGACGCUGAGGUGCGAAAGCGUGGGGAGCAAACAGG